GCAUACUGUAUUUUGCUCAGCCCUUCCUAUUCUGAAGCUGGGCUGAAGCAGUGCCUAUCUGUAGCAGUGUCUGGGUGAUUUUUAAGCCCAGCACUACCCACCCAAGUGGCUGUGAUACCGGCUUUCACUGAAUUCUUAUUACUCUUAAAAGAGCAAUUUGGUUGGUUGCACGGCUAUUAGGAUCACACAGGCAGCCUGAAAGCUGUCAGUACAACUGCUUCUCAUCUUUUCCACACAAUCCUGACAUCUUUUCUCUUUUCUGCUGGACACAGACUUUCCUGUUUUUAUCAUUUUCAAUCAGACUCACCCAGCACGCUGAGGAAUAUAUUCCCACUGAAAGCAGAGUGGAGAACAGAAAUUAUUUUAUAGCUCCUGGAGUAGAAGCAGUGCUGACUGUACUGAAGAGCAGGAGCCGGAUCUGUGAGAAAUGUAGCUUGGCUCAGGGCUACACCGGGAGCUGCUGCUUCGGUGUUAAAGAUGGCAAAACAACACCUACCUCAGGUUUUUCCAUGAUUAAUGCUAUUUUCAUAACCGGGAGGGAAGAAGAUGUGAGAAAUUUUGUGAAAUUUUCUUGUGGCAAUGUUAUCAUCAGAGAAAGUGGGGAAAAUCACUAGGCUUGAACUUCUCUUCAUUUUGAUGUUCUUCUUCUCGGGACCAACUCUGAGCAAGCUGGCCAGGACCCCCUGGAAGGGAAAAGCUUGGAAGGGGGUUCAGAGGAACAGGAAGAAGAUGAAUCAAAAGCACCUCUUGAAAACAGAAGAGAGGGCCGUUAAGAAAAUCAUAGAAGGUCCAUCAAGAGCUAUUCCACGUCUAGUUCAGGUGGGAGAUUCUGUCGUUGUAAAUAAUAUUCAUUGCCACAUUUUGCUCCAUCAGUGCUCAGGAACCAGUGUGCUUUUGGCCAAGGCAGAUAGUUAACAUUCCCUGAAUACUGAGAUACAAAGCCAACAUGGUAGAGAAAAGGCUGUAUGAAAUGAAUGGAAAAGCAGGGGAAAAAAUGUGCCACUAGGUUAAGCAAGAUUAAAUAGACAUCAUCUACUGGAAAAAGGAAAACGAGGUGUAACUGAUAAAGGGAAAUUGC
rnacentral:lncRNA from 1 species